GACGAACGCUGGCGGCGUGCUUAACACAUGCAAGUCGAACGGAAAGGCCUCUUUCGGGGGGUACUCGAGUGGCGAACGGGUGAGUAACACGUGAGUAACCUGCCCUUGACUUUGGGAUAACUUCAGGAAACUGGGGCUAAUACCGGAUAGGAGCUCCUGCUGCAUGGUGGGGGUUGGAAAGUUUCGGCGGUUGGGGAUGGACUCGCGGCUUAUCAGCUUGUUGGUGGGGUAGUGGCUUACCAAGGCUUUGACGGGUAGCCGGCCUGAGAGGGUGACCGGCCACAUUGGGACUGAGAUACGGCCCAGACUCCUACGGGAGGCAGCAGUGGGGAAUAUUGCACAAUGGGCGAAAGCCUGAUGCAGCAACGCCGCGUGAGGGACGACGGCCUUCGGGUUGUAAACCUCUUUUAGCAGGGAAGAAGCGAAAGUGACGGUACCUGCAGAAAAAGCGCCGGCUAACUACGUG
rnacentral:rRNA from 1 species